AGAACAGGCACUGAGCUGUGGGUUCUCUGGAUGACAGAAUAGUCUUUUCCACAUUAACUUAACCGUUCUCCCUCCCCAGAUUUAUUCUGAAGGUUCAAUGGACCCCUAAAAAAUAUGAAAUACUGCAUUUUAAGGGACAUUAAAGGUAUGUAAUUUUGAUUAAUUUACACUGUAGCCAGUUAUGUGAGAACUAUUUGAUGUCCAAUGAGCCUUUGAAAAGUCUUAAAGUUUUUUCUGAAAUUUUAACAUUACAUUUGUUGAGGAAAACUAACUCAAACACUUUAAGAUCAAUUUCUUCUUGGGAACUGUAUUUCUUUGCUCACUAAAGGGUCUGCACGCCUAUCUUUGCAGUUAUAGAAGCUGCAAGAAUUGAACACUGAGAAUUGAGAGGGGAGAGAAAUUCUGUUGUACGUUCCCACAUCCUGUUCUUGAGGGGCUGUGGCAGGUUUGGAAGGGCAACAGUGUGAACACAGAUUGAAUUAAAUACACUGGUGUCAGGGUGGGGUCGGGCAAAGGCAGGAUCUAGUCAGCAUGAGUCUGGAUAGGCAGGAUUUCUGGACGGAGGUCUAUGGGACCAGAGUUUUUGCGGAGCAAUGGGUAGAGGUUGAGCCUGGUGGAGCUUGGAGUCAAGCUCUGGGUGUGGAGGUCUGAGGCUCCCUUGUGGGAACAGGAGCUCCUGCUGCCCUGUUACUGUGGGGAGCUCACGUCUUCCUCCACCCCUCUAUUUCUGAGAUGGGACUUUUGAAAGGGCCAGGCAUAGAAAAAGGCACAACUCUAGAUCUUGUGGGAGUGUCCAAGUCUUUAUUUAUGGUGCAUUAUUCAUUGUCUGUGGGGAUGACCACACCGCUUGUGAAACUGCGGCUCCUCGGGAGCUGAUCCUGCAGUUGCCUCUCUCUUUAGCAUUCCACCUUCUGCGGUCUAAUGCUUUCUGGGAACAAGGAGAGAGGACAGUGGCAGCAAGCCCUUUUCCUCUUUCCAUCUAGGUCCCCCCAGGCAGGAGAUUAAGAUAUGGGCUCAGUGAGAUAUCAGAUCAUUGAAGUUAGAUGGCACAGGGCCAUUGGUAAAAGCCCGAGGCCUGCCUCCUACAUCUCUCAGGCUAGAUAGUCUGGACUGUAAAUUUUUAUAUGGUUUUCGUUUAUAUAGUUUAGAGAGUAAGAUCAGAAAUUACGGAGCCAGUUUUCUCCAACCACUUGUGACUGUGCCCUUGGGCAUGCUAUUUUACCUCUCUGUUCCUCAGCUUCUUAAACUUUAAAGUGGGCACACAGUAGUGUAAAAGCAAACACACAGUAGUUUCAGCUAUUGUAUUUAUUGCACCAACAGCUGUGGGUGCAGUUCCAUGUCUCAGCUGACAGAGGUGAGGAAGUCUUCCCGAAAUAUGACUACAGGUAGAGGCUGUUGGGAAAGCCGUGCUUUGAGGCCUGUGUGGUAAAUCAGGUGCAUUAGAUUAAUUACCUAAUCUGUGGUAGAUGAAGGCUGAGCACCUGUUUCCUCCUUUGGUUGCAUCUUCCUGGACUGUAGCGGCUGCAGAGCCGAAAACUACGUUUCCCAGAUACCCUUCUGCCUGAGUUUCUGGAUGCAAAUUGGCCUCACCAAUCAGAUUCUCUUAGGUACGGACUGCAAGUCAGAACAGAGAAGGAGGUGUCCUCCUGCUGGCAGGCUCUGCGGUGGGGAAGGAGGGUCUUUCUGUAGCCCUGUGCAGUGUCUGGCCACCAGCUUGGGUGGGUAUAGAAGGCAGUUGUCUCUGGAUUCCUGCCUUCCUGACUGGGCCAUCCCUCUGGAUGGCUCUGCAGGGUUGCUGGGGGUCCUUCCUGGAGACUCAGCCCAGAGGUCACUCCUCCUUUCAGUGUCAUUAGCACCCAAUCUUUACACUCCCUUCUGCAGGGUAGGCAGUAAUUUCUGCUUUUUACAACAUAACCUUGAUAACCUUGAUAUUUAAGUCUAUGGAAAGCUAAAGGACUUUUCUGAGGCAAUCUUUUCUGAUUUUCCAAGGCAGGUAGGUCACACUCCUUAGCUGUACAGUCUCAUUGGAUUCCCCACUUGCUAGAACUUUCCUAGGCUUCCUCAUUUAUCAGCUCAUGCUAUGAGGACUCUUAGUCCUUGUAAGGUGUGUCUAGGGAUUUUCCUGUGUCUCACUUAAUAGAUUUUUCUCAGGUUGACUACAGGAGGGAGAUUUGACUAUCAAUAGUGGUAUUGGUGAGCCCAGUAACUAUGUGAUGGGACCUGGAUAUGAUGCAAUCAGUCAGUCUGACAAUGGGGAGAUUAAGGUCCAAUUGUUCUGCAGAUACCACACCUGGCAUCCUGUCUAAUGUAGACUCUCUCUGUUAGGUGCACAAGUGAACUUAUAGCAUGGCAAAUGAGAAAUUAUUUCAGUUGGGCCCAUAGUUUUGUCUGCAUAUGUUAAUAAGAUAUUUGAUUCAAUGUCAACUUAGAUCUUGAGAGGUAGAAAAGAGAUUCUGCCAGAAGGUCAAAUGAGCUGAUAUCUAUGAUUGCAAAUCCAGCUGAGGAUGAAAAUACUGGAUGAAAUGUGAAAGGUAACUCCCAUUGUGGGGAUCUUGUAUAACAGAACAAGGUGGGCACAGCUGUGUGGGUUCGUUGCUGGCUUGGAUAAGCUGAUGCUCAAUGCCGAGAGGAUGGUUCUUUCUCCACAGUGCAUGUCAGUGGUAAGUUCAGUAGUUCAAUUGCACAAGCUAAGCAAUUAGCACAUAUUUUUUAGAAGUUAUUUUUGUUUAUUUUCAUUUUUAAACGUCUAUUUCUGAAUAUGCAAAAUCUAAGCUCAGUGGAAGUAACUUGCAUAAAACAGACACCCCCAUAAGUGUUAAAAAACCAACCACGGGUCCUAGAGGAGGGAAGGUUGAAGGUGGAGAACUGUGGUAUGAAAUUCAGGGAGAAUCUCCACAAAGUUCCAGGUGCUGUGUGCUCCUUGUUGGAGAACAGAUGAGUGUUUUCAGGAGACAGGGAGGAUUUAGUGCCCAAGAAUUGCAGUCGGGCACAGUGGGGUGUGGUGGGGAGUUGCCAGGACCAGGCUUAGCUGAGGGCAGGAGAGACUGCUGGAAACCAUAGCUAUGAGCAUAUCCCGUUGAACAGCAAGUUUUGGUGCAUGUGGCCAGCCAGCAGGAGAGAGGGCCAGGGAGCAGUGAGGCGGACUCUGGAAGCUGCAGGGAGGCGGGCUCUGGAAGCUGCAGCGAGGCGGGCUCUGGAAGCUGAGGUGGCUCCACAUUCUGCUGUCUGUGCCCUACCAUUUUUAUUUGAGCCAGUUUAAUUUUUUUUCAACUAAGUCUCCCUCCCUAUCUUCUUCCUCCUUCUCUCCCUUUCUUCUCUUCCUUACCCUUUUUCUUCUGACCUCCAUUUAGUUUUAAUUCUUUUUUUUUUUAAAGUUGCAUAUGUAUAGUGUGAAGAAUUAAAUAAUUCCAUAGGGUCUGUUGUGCAGAAUAGUAAUCUGCUAUCCUCCUCUUCCAUUACAUCUUUUCCAGAGGAAAUAUAAUAGCUUUAAACUUUACUGCCUUUUUUUUCUUUUUUUUGGUGUUUGCCUCUAUAUUUUAAAAUAGCGUGCUUUUAUUGCUACUUUUCAAGAAAUUUUCAAUUUCAGGCAUUAUUUAUGGAAGCGAGGGCUUUCCUUUCUUUCCUCCUCCCUCUGCCACAAGCAUCCUCCCCAUUGGUUACACUUUUGGUUAGAUCAAUAUUCAUUGUUUUCAUUUAUUUUGACUUUUGUAACUGUCACUCAGUGCUGAGCCUGUGGCAAAUUAUGAUUGCUUUUCCUUUCCUAUAUGACUUUUUGUCUUUUCUGGACUAAUAGCUGUUUUUUUCAUUGUUUAUGUCUGUAUGUUUUGAUUACUAAUUUAACUCCAAACUCCCUGCUAGUUGUCCAAAUCUCCUUUCUCAAAUUUCCCAGACAUUAGGUGUUCUGAGACUUCUGUCUUCUUGAGUAAACCUUUUCCAGAAACUUUGGGCCUGAUUCAAUGCAGGGUUCUUGCUUUCAGGCCCCACGCUCAGCUGUAUGUUCCUGGACUUUCCCUCCACCAUCACUGUAGGGAUUCCCUUCUCACUUUGCUCCUCUGUUUCCUUGCUUGAGCCUUCCUCUGAUUUCGAAUACCUCCUUGUUUUGGGGAUGCACCUCCUCCAGGAGCUUGCUGGUACAGAAUGCAUGGGACUCUAUCUGUCAGGAUUCAGAGGGCAAGCUCUAGUAAGAAACUUCAAGAAGCAUUUAAUAAAGGGAUGGUUUACAAAGAUGUGGAAGGCUGAAGAAACUUGGGGCCAGUACGAGCAAAAGUCUUUUUCCAUACCUAGGUUUGGGGUCAUGGGAAGGAAGCAGUUACUGGGAUCUGCAGACAAAAAUAUAUUUGAAGGUAGCAAUCAACCCACAUUGGUCUUGCGGGAAUUUUCUCAUUUUGCUCAUUUUGGAACUCCUACCAGACAAUGAUCAUCCUGCACUGAUGGCCUUUUCUUCUUUAUUUUAUAUAAUUUAGAAAUUUUGCCCUAUUUCCUGUGAGGUUUAUUCAGUUCUUUUUUCUAAACUUCUAUAGUUUCUUGUGGGGAGGCAACAUUUUACUAUCGUAUUUUACAUUUCCAAGAGCUUGCUUCAGUCCUCUCAAUGUUCAUUUUUAAUAACAUCUUGUUCUUGUUUCAUGAUUGCACUAUUUCCUCUUACUUUUCUGAGCAUAGUAAUAAUCUUUUUGAGGGAAACAUUGUAUUCUCUCUAAAUAGUUUUUCUAUAGUAUCCUCCAAAAUGUGUUUAGCAUGCUUUUGUGUUUAUUUUUUCUUUCCUUCAGGUCAGUGAUGUUUUUUUCAGAUGGUUAGAUUUCCUUGUAUCUCUGGUCGUAUUUAAAAGUAGAAGAUGAAGAAGCUGAUUGGAAGCCCUGAGCACAUUUGUGGGUUGCUAUAUGGGCUCUGAUGUAGGAUGAUCUGGUUGAGCCAUUGUACUGGGGAAUCCUUGAUGGUUAUACUGGUUAUACUGGUUGUACUGGGGAAUCCUUGAUGUUAGUGACUUUUGUCUCUUCUCUUGGGCGGAACAGAGUCCUCAGAGAAAACCUUACAAUCUUCUGCAGAGGGUGAACGUCUAGCAAUGAUCUGGGAACUAAAGGGAAGAAGAUUGCUGGGGUCGAAGGAGGGCCUCAGCAUCCAGGAUCCAGUUUCACUUCAUCUUCCCUUUUCAACAUAACCAUCUCUGACGACAUCUUGAACAUUUACAUUUAUCUUCUCAAAUGACUAGCCUUCCAUUUUCUUGCUAGAGUGUGGAUCUGGAAGUCUAUCUGUUUUUAAAGUGGCUACCAAGCCGUCCUUCACCUUCAUUCUACUUCCAGCACCUCAGGGUUCCCUGCUGAACCUCUGGGAAUCUCAUGGCUCAAAUCCAACUGGCCACUGGCUUCCUUACUGCUGGUUGAGUGAGGAGUCAUCUUUCUUUGGUCCACCAAGUCAGUUACCACCUGCCUUUCUGCCUUCUAAUUAUGGUUUCUUUGAUCUUUCUCCAUAUCCUUACAGGUCUAGGACCUAAAAAAAUUACUUUUAUGGUGUGUUAGUGGAGUUCUGUGAGGGUGUGUAGAGCUAAAUGUUGAAAUUUUAGUCUCUUUCCUAAGGCAAUUCCCCAUUCCUAGAAGAAGACAGCUACAUGGUCCCUCACCAGAAAGGCUGCUUUCUCCUGUAUGAAUUGGGCUCCAGCUGGAGAUUGGCUGGUCUGUGGGCUGGUGAAAAAUCAGGCUUUUAUUCAUGGCUGUGUUGUUCCUCUGAAGCUCAUUUUGCCUUCUGGAGACCCAGCAACAGGGCCAUGUUCUGAACAAUGGUGCUGUCUUUUCCUUUUUGCAGUACACUAUCCUCCAUUUCUGUGACCGCAUGCAACUCUAGCCAGUCCCUAGCUCAGAUAACCUGAAUGGAGGCCACACCUCCCUGAGGUCCCUGGGGCUCAUUUUCUGAAGGGCAUCACCGGGACUGGAACUCCCAGAUCAUCUCCUAUGUCCCAUCCUGUGCCCCAGUCUUUUAAUGAACCUUCAGAUGAUAUAUUUAAGAGAUUUAAUCAUGGAUUACUGCAUUAUACCAUAAAACCUUUUUGCUUCCAUGCAGUAACUUUCUGAUGCCUGUAGCUCUACGAGUAACAAAGAUGGUAUAUUCAGGCAGUAUUUUUGUCUGUGAGGUUUCCCGCAAGUAUCUCUGUUUAGCCAACCCAGGGACAACAUCCUGUGGCUUUGUUUUCCUUUGGGAGCUAAACUGGCUCAUUUUAUCAGGGGUGAAGCAAGAUAAACCUUAGGAAUAAAUAGUUUUGUGUCAAAAGUUGCUGCCUUGAAAAUUUGUUUCCACAGGGUGUCAAUGUGCUGAUAUUCCAAUCUUGCAGAAAUCGACUGGAUUUAGUGGAAUUAAAGUCAACUGGAAGACGAUCUGUGGGGAUAAUUCCAUGAUUCAAAGCCUUCAGGGAAAACGUGUUUGCUCAGCUGCAGUGAUUGAAAAAUUGAAGGCAAUGAGAGUCAUAUGUUAUGCUUGGUUAUGUCCUGCUCUGAUGCCAGUUUGGAGUAAAGGCUGAACUUUGCUGUUGAAAGCCACUGUGGAAAGUGGAAACAUUGACUGUGCGUUGCUGAGGGGAGGAAUGUAUUUACUUACCCAGAAAUAGACGCAUCCUUGUCUCAGUGGGCUGGGAGAUAGUAUCAAUCCUUUCUGUUGCAACAGAUCCCACUGCCUUCUUUUUUCAAAAGAGUAAAUAUUUAAAUAGGUAAUACAGAAAAGUUAUUGCCAUUUUUCCUUCAUCAGCCAUGGCUGGGAGUCAAAAGAGAGAGUGAGGCAGAACUCACACAUGGGGAAAUAAUAUUGUGGACGUUAUAUAUAAUCCUUUUAAAGUAACGGCAUUAGACUUCGUGAUUUGCAAUUGGCCAAAUUGAGAAAACUUUUCUCAAAAAGCCAUUUUAAGAUAAAAAAUUAUGAAUUUUCUUAAGCCCUGUGAUUAGAGUGUAACACGUAUUUAUGGUCCCCCCAGGCACCACCCAAUAAAAAUGGUUAAAACCUUUAGUACUUUUAGUAGUUCACAGUUUUAUGGCCAAAGUUAUUUUGUAGAUUUUAUGCUUAAAGCAAGGUCAAUGUAUUGCACUGUAUAAAUUAUUCUAAGUAAUUGCUCAGUUAUUUUAUAGCUUAGUCACAGGAUUUUUUCAUUAUUAAACGUAGCCUUUUCUUUAAAGUUAGGAUGAGAAGGGCACGAUAAAUCACAGAGCAGCUUGCCAUUGGGGUUUCAGCUUUACCUGUGAUAAGGGUUUAAUAACAAUCUGGCCCAGACACCAGCUCCCUCUCAAUUACCUUUCCACAUGGGCAUUAGUUCACACUGUUUAUUAAAAACUCCCCUUGUAGUUCUUAAAUGGAGUGUUUCAGAUUAAUGGCCCCCACGGAGUUUAACUUCAUUGCACUUCAUUAAAGCUAGAUUGUACAAAAGGUUACUUCAAUUAAAUCCAGAAUGCGACCUUAAAUCUGUAUAGAUUUUUUUCAGAAAAUGUGAUAAAAUUGCUCUGCCAAUCCUUCAAGAUUAACAAGACAAAAUCCCUUUCAGUAACCAAAGUACAAAAAUUUGUGUGCCUGUUCUGAGUUUUCCUCUGGCUGUACAACUGGAUUUUAUAGAAUUAGAGGACAACUCGUGGAAAGAGCCUGGAGUUACAAAUGGAUCAAGUUACCGGAGAGCUGAGCCCCAGUGUGAGGCUGGAGAGUUUGGGAGACCUUUUGUUCCCCUUGAGUGGAUGCUGUACAUUUGGUGCUUUAGAAAAAAAAAUAUUUUGCUUCCCAUAUAAUAAAAAUAUUUUUCUAAAUA